GCCCCGGUAGUAUAGCCCGGUCAAGUAUGUGGGCCUUUCGAGCCCAUGACCCGGGUUCAAAUCCCGGCCGGGGCA
rfam:Vulcanisaeta sp. CIS_19 scf1118685653296, whole genome shotgun sequence.